CAGGCCUACACAUGCAAGUCGAGGGGCAGUUCCGACUUAGGUUGGGAGCGACCGGCCACGGGUGAGUAACGCGUUUGUAACCUACCUCCGACUGUGGGAUAGCUCCGGAAACGGGAAUUAAUACCGCAUAAUAUUCAACCGGGGCAUCCUGGUUGAUUAAAGCUUCGGCGGUCGGAGACGGGCAUGCGUGACAUUAGCUUGUGGUGAGGUAACGGCUCACCAAGGCAACGAUGUCUAGGGGGUCUGAGAGGAGAUCCCCCACACUGGUACUGAGACACGGACCAGACUCCUACGGGAGGCACAGUGAGGAAUAUUGGGCAAUGGACGAAAGUCUGACCCAGCCAUGCCGCUGCAGGAUGAAGGCCUUAUGGGUUGUAAACUGCUUUUAUACAGGAAGAACCCCCGAUUUUCGGGAGUUGACGGUACUGUACGAAUAAGCAUCGGCUACUCCGUGCCAGCAGCCGCGGUAA
rnacentral:rRNA from 1 species